rnacentral:rRNA from 1 species
AUACGUAGGUGGCAAGCGUUAUCCGGAAUUAUUGGGCGUAAAGCGCGCGUAGGCGGUUUUUUAAGUCUGAUGUGAAAGCCCACGGCUCAACCGUGGAGGGUCAUUGGAAACUGGAAAACUUGAGUGCAGAAGAGGAAAGUGGAAUUCCAUGUGUAGCGGUGAAAUGCGCAGAGAUAUGGAGGAAAACCAGUGGCGAAGGCGACUUUCUGGUCUGUAACUGACGCUGAUGUGCGAAAGCGUGGGGAUCAAACAGGAUUAGAUACCCUGGUAGUCCACGCCGUAAACGAUGAGUGCUAAGUGUUAGGGGGUUUCCGCCCCUUAGUGCUGCAGCUAACGCAUUAAGCACUCCGCCUGGGGAGUACGACCGCAGGGUUGAAACUCAAAUGAAUUGACGGGG